GCCGACUUGUGAGAUCGAACAUGAACAAGAUUGCCACUGCAUCUUUGCAGGCUAAUGGAAGUUGAUCUUGUGAACUGCUGUCACCUUUAACAUCCCAGAUACAGAACGAAAUCAGAGCAUUUUGUAUACUUAAUGUUUUGUUCAUUAGGUUUAUUCCACUCAUCUGUAAGCUAUUUCUCUCCUGCUCAUCGCCCACAUACUU
rnacentral:misc_RNA from 1 species